rnacentral:lncRNA from 1 species
AUGACAUACAUGGAGAGAUGGGUUCUCAGGGACAUACAUACAGGUGCACAAUUCAACACACAGCUAAGCCCAGAAACACAAGGAUGCCAGACAAGAUCACAUGCAGAUAGCAAAGGAUCAUGCACACACACACACACACACACACACACACACACAGGCAAAUACUUAUUCAGGCACACACCAGAACAGUCCCAUGCACACCUGGGACAUUCUUCCAGAGAAAAACCCAGAGCCACGGGCACACAAACGGAUACAAACACACACACACCUUCAGGCAUGUGCAGGCACACAGGCUCAAAGAUAACAAACACAAUCACACGCUCGUACACAGAUGUACAAAGACACAAGUACACUCAGUUACACCUGGGCUAUCAUACACCCAAUGCCACAUACGUUCGGGAUAGGGAGGUAAAUGAGCACGGAGAGGCAAAUACCCUCAAGGACAACCAGAGACGGAGGCACAACCGGCACACUGAGGGACACACCCAGGCACAGGCAAGAACAUCCUCAGGUACAUACAACCCCCCCUCGGGGGCUCACUCUGGAGCACCUGGGGACACGCCCACAGGCGGCCGGAGCCUGCGGGGACGUGGGGGGGGGGGGAGAGGGGCGGGGGAAGCAGGGCGGCCUCAGCGCACCUGGCGCCCAGGGCUCGCCCCCAGGCGCCCGGAGCGUGCGUGCCCGUGCGUGCGUGCGUGCCCGCCCGUGCGCGCCGCCACCUGUGGGAGGAGAGGUGCGCACUGCGCCCGGGGCUGCCCGGCUGGCGCGGCGCGGGGGGAGCGGUUGCCAUGGCGCGCAGAGCGCGGCCGCAUACUAAUGGGGAGGCCACGGGCGCUGCCCCCUUGCCGGCCCGGCUCCCUCCUCCCGCUCCUUCCUUCAGGCACUACGAAGUCACCCCGCUGGCGCCCCCCCCACUCAAAGGGCCCGAGACCUGGGGGCUCUCGGGAGGCCCCGGGCUCCGGGACCCUCGCCUCCCCCAGUGCCCCAGAGAAGGCCCAGGCCGGGUGCAAAGAGGGCCGAAGGAAGGCCUGGGGAGCUGCCCUGCCUGGGUGCGGGCACCGAAGGGGCACGGGAGCUGGGAGCGCAGGUGCCGCCUUGGAAUGGGGGUGGCUAUCCUGGGAGGGUGGGAAAUAA